GGACCCGCACAAGUAGUGGAGCAUGUGGUUUAAUUCGAAGAUACGCGCAGAACCUUACCAACACUUGACAUGUUCGUCGCGACUCUAAGAGAUUAGAGUUUUCGGUUCGGCCGGACGAAACACAGGUGCUGCAUGGCUGUCGUCAGCUCGUGUCGUGAGAUGUUGGGUUAAGUCCCGCAACGAGCGCAACCCUCACUUUUAGUUGCCAUCAUUAAGUUGGGCACUCUGAAAGAACUGCCAGUGAUAAGCUGGAGGAAGGUGGGGAUGACGUCAAGUCCUCAUGGCCCUUACGUGUUGGGCUACACACGUGCUACAAUGGUGGUGACAGUGGGUUAAUCCCCAAAAGCCAUCUCAGUUCGGAUUGGAGUCUGCAACUCGACUCCAUGAAGCUGGAGUU
rnacentral:rRNA from 1 species